rnacentral:rRNA from 1 species
AGAUUGAACGCUGGCGGCAGGCCUAACACAUGCAAGUCGAGCGGUAGCACAGGGAGCUUGCUCCUGGGUGACGAGCGGCGGACGGGUGAGUAAUGUCUGGGAAACUGCCUGAUGGAGGGGGAUAACUACUGGAAACGGUAGCUAAUACCGCAUAACGUCUUCGGACCAAAGAGGGGGACCUUCGGGCCUCUUGCCAUCAGAUGUGCCCAGAUGGGAUUAGCUAGUAGGUGAGGUAAUGGCUCACCUAGGCGACGAUCCCUAGCUGGUCUGAGAGGAUGACCAGCCACACUGGAACUGAGACACGGUCCAGACUCCUACGGGAGGCAGCAGUGGGGAAUAUUGCACAAUGGGCGCAAGCCUGAUGCAGCCAUGCCGCGUGUAUGAAGAAGGCCUUCGGGUUGUAAAGUACUUUCAGCGAGGAGGAAGGCAUUGUGGUUAAUAACCGCAGUGAUUGACGUUACUCGCAGAAGAAGCACCGGCUAACUCCGUGCCAGCAGCCGCGGUAAUACGGAGGGUGCAAGCGUUAAUCGGAAUUACUGGGCGUAAAGCGCACGCAGGCGGUCUGUCAAGUCGGAUGUGAAAUCCCCGGGCUCAACCUGGGAACUGCAUUCGAAACUGGCAGGCUAGAGUCUUGUAGAGGGGGGUAGAAUUCCAGGUGUAGCGGUGAAAUGCGUAGAGAUCUGGAGGAAUACCGGUGGCGAAGGCGGCCCCC